rnacentral:rRNA from 1 species
AGCGAACGCUGGCGGCAGGCCUAACACAUGCAAGUCGAACGCCCCUUCGGGGGAGUGGCGGACGGGUGAGUAACGCGUGGGAACGUGCCCUUUGGUACGGAACAACUGAGGGAAACUUCAGCUAAUACCGUAUGUGCCCCCAUUCUUAGCGGGAUGGGUGGGAAAGAUUUAUCGCCAUUGGAGCGGCCCGCGUUAGAUUAGCUAGUUGGUAGGGUAAUGGCCUACCAAGGCGACGAUCUAUAGCUGGUCUGAGAGGAUGAUCAGCCACACUGGGACUGAGACACGGCCCAGACUCCUACGGGAGGCAGCAGUGGGGAAUCUUGCGCAAUGGGCGAAAGCCUGACGCAGCCAUGCCGCGUGAAUGAUGAAGGUCUUAGGAUUGUAAAAUUCUUUCACCGGGACGAUAAUGACGGUACCCGGAGAAGAAGCUCCGGCUAACUUCGUGCCAGCAGCCGCGGUAAUAGUACUCUA